rnacentral:rRNA from 1 species
GACGAACGCUGGCGGCGUGCCUAAUACAUGCAAGUUGAGCGCUGAAGGUUGGUACUUGUACCAACUGGAUGAGCAGCGAACGGGUGUGUAACGCGUGGGGAAUCUGCCUUUGAGCGGGGGACAACAUUUGGAAACGAAUGCUAAUACCGCAUAAAAACUUUAAACACAAGUUUUAAGUUUGAAAGAUGCAAUUGCAUCACUCAAAGAUGAUCCCGCGUUGUAUUAGCUAGUUGGUGAGGUAAAGGCUCACCAAGGCGAUGAUACAUAGCCGACCUGAGAGGGUGAUCGGCCACAUUGGGACUGAGACACGGCCCAAACUCCUACGGGAGGCAGCAGUAGGGAAUCUUCGGCAAUGGACGAAAGUCUGACCGAGCAACGCCGCGUGAGUGAAGAAGGGUUUCGGAUCGUAAAACUCGGUUGGUAGAGAAGAACGUUGGUGAGAGUGGAAAGCUCAUCAAGUGACGGUAACUACCCAGAAAGGGACGGCUAACUACGUG